UGUGUGUGUGUGUGUGUGUGUGUGUGUGUGUGUGUGUGUGUGUGUGUGUGUGUAUGUGUGUGUGUGUGUGUGUGUGUGUGUGUGUGUGGGUGUGUGUGUGUGUGUGUGUGUGUGUGUGUAGGGGCCCAAUACAUCGUUGUCUCCCAGCUACAUGGGGGCCCCGUCAGCAUCUGUUCAAGGUGAACCUCUAGCACAGCAUGCGUUAGAGAAAGAGAGGGAUAAAAGUGAGAUGGAGAGAGGCCUUUUUUGGUAAAACUUCAUGACACAUUGCGAAUUAGUUUUAGUAAAACUAGAUUUGACAAGUCUUAGUUGUAAUAUUAUUACCUUGCGUUAUUAAAGCUAUUCCAUUUAGUUAAAGUCAAACCAAGCCCUGUUAUAUCAUUGGAAAAACAGGCUUUAUCAUAACCUAAUAUUCACAUUCAAGGUUUACCCUAGAUUUCACAAAGUACCUAAAAACUGUGAUGUAUUCUGACCCUUGCUCUCACUAUCUAUUCCAUUCCUUCUCAACCUAAAAUGUGUUGCAUUCUAAAAGUAAAGACAGAGAGACAGAGGAAGAGAGACGUAUAGAAAGAGUGGAGGCGAUGUGCGUGGUGAGUUGGGCUCAGACAGAUCCCAGACAUCCAGCCACGCAUGCUUAAUCCUGCAGACUUUCCUGCCAUCCACCGUGUCUAAGUACCCCUGGAGUUCCCAGAAGGAAUGGUGAGCAGCUAACAUCUGCUGUCCCCUGCAGUUCCUCCUGAAACGUGCGGUGGAGGGCCAACAGCCGCUCUGAGAGUGAACAAUCCCACAUCAAUAAUACUGGAUGCAAUACUUAAACCAUUCUUUGUGUUUACCAUAGUGCCAUCUCCAUCUUCCUGCUACUACACCUGCCAUGAGCGUCUGAGAAUAGCAAACAGCCUUAAACCAAACAACCUUGAAACAACAAACACGAAAGCUUGUCAUAUGCUCACCCAAUGAAGCUUCUAUUGGAGACCAGAAAGCUCUUUUGGUCAAGUCCUUCCAUUUUUUUUUAUAUAUUUAUUUUGCUAUGCAAGUUUGCUUGUUAAUGACAGGUCUGUUGUCAAGGUGACUGAAUGAGGGAUGAGAAGCUGAUUAAGCGUACCAAGGGGUCCUGUGCACAUUUGUAACCACUGACUUUUUAUGUAUUUAUAUACUGUGUGUGUGUCAUUGAAAGCAGUUAACCAAGGCGCAUGGAUAACCGAGCAGAAUAAACUACAGUGGAUGUGUAAUGUACAAUCAAAGGCCCAAUCCCAUUCCUACCCCUUACCCCUUCCCUUUACCCCUUCAAAACAAGGGGGAGGGGUAAGGGGUAGAAAUGGGAUUGGGCCAAAGUCUGUGUUGAAGCAUUUCAUGUUCAUGGGACAUAAGGUUGUCUCUGAGGGCUAGCAUGAGUCAAUGAUAUCAACCACACGCCCAAGGUAUAUACUGUUUCUAAAUGUGUCUAUGUAUCAGAAAAACAAUAAAAUAUACAAUAUUUUCAAUGCAA